AUAUUUAUGCUAGUGGUCAGGACAUUGGACUCUGAAUCCAGUAACCCGAGUUCAAACCUCGGUGGAUCCU
rnacentral:tRNA from 1 species